AUUGAACGCUGGCGGCAGGCCUAACACAUGCAAGUCGAGCGGAUGAAGGGAGCUUGCUCCUGGAUUCAGCGGCGGACGGGCGAGUAAUGCCUAGGAAUCUGCCUGGUAGUGGGGGAUAACGUCCGGAAACGGGCGCUAAUACCGCAUACGUCCUGAGGGAGCAAGUGGGGGAUCUUCGGACCUCACGCUAUCAGAUGAGCCUAGGUCGGAUUAGCUAGUUGGUGGGGUAAAGGCCUACCAAGGCGACGAUCCGUAACUGGUCUGAGAGGAUGAUCAGUCACACUGGAACUGAGACACGGUCCAGACUCCUACGGGAGGCAGCAGUGGGGAAUAUUGGACAAUGGGCGAGAGCCUGAUCCAGCCAUGCCGCGUGUGUGAAGAAGGUCUUCGGAUUGUAAAGCACUUUAAGUUGGGAGGAAGGGCAGUAAGUUAAUACCUUGCUGUUUUGACGUUACCAACAGAAUAAGCACCGGCUAACUUCGUG
rnacentral:rRNA from 1 species